rnacentral:rRNA from 1 species
AUUGAACGCUGGCGGCAUGCCUUACACAUGCAAGUCGAACGGUAACAGGUCUUCGGAUGCUGACGAGUGGCGAACGGGUGAGUAAUACAUCGGAACGUGCCCGAUCGUGGGGGAUAACGGAGCGAAAGCUUUGCUAAUACCGCAUACGAUCUACGGAUGAAAGCAGGGGACCGCAAGGCCUUGCGCGGACGGAGCGGCCGAUGGCAGAUUAGGUAGUUGGUGGGAUAAAAGCCCACCAAGGCGACGAUCCGUAGCUGGUCUGAGAGGAUGAUCAGCCACACUGGAACUGAGACACGGUCCAGACUCCUACGGGAGGCAGCAGUAGGGAAUAUUGCGCAAUGGGGGAAACCCUGACGCAGCGACGCCGCGUGAGCGAAGAAGGCCUUAGGGUUGUAAAAGCUCUGUUUUAGGGGACGAAUGUCACGGUGAGUAAUAUGCGCUGUGAAUGACGGUACCCUAAGAGGAAGCCCCGGCUAACUACGUGCCAGC